rnacentral:rRNA from 1 species
GGGCGGAGCAAUCCGCAACCGGCGAACGGGUGCGUAACACGUGAGCGACCUGCCUCCCCGCGGGGGAUAGCCGGCCCAACGGCCGGGUAAUACCGCAUACGCUCUCCGCGGGGCAUCCCGGGAAGAGGAAACCUCCGGGGCGGGGAGAGGGGCUCGCGGCCUAUCAGCUAGUUGGCGGGGUGACGGCCCACCAAGGCGGUGACGGGUAGCUGGUCUGAGAGGAUGGCCAGCCACAUUGGGACUGAGAGACGGCCCAGACUCCUACGGGAGGCAGCAGUGGGGAAUCUUGCGCAAUGGCCUGACGGCUGACGCAGCGACGCCGCGUGGGGGAGGAAGGGCCUCGGCUCGUAAACCCCUGUUGCCCGGGGCGAACAGCGCGUUUCAACGCGCCUGACGGUACCGGGUGAGGAAGCACCGGCUAACUCCGUGCCAGCAGCCGCGGUAAUACGGAGGGUGCGAGCGUUGUCCGGAAUCACUGGGCGUAAAGGGCGCGUAGGUGGCCGAGCAAGGUCGCGGUGAAAGCCCGGGGCUCAACCCCGGGUCGGCCGUGGCAACUACUCGGCUCGAGCACUGUAGGGGCGGGUGGAAUUCCGGGUGUAGCGG